rnacentral:rRNA from 1 species
CCUACGGGUGGCAGCAGUGGGGGAUAUUGCACAAUGGGGGGAACCCUGAUGCAGCGACGCCGCGUGUGGGAAGACGGUCGUCUGGAUUGUAAACCACUGUCUCCAGGGACGAAAAUGACGGUACCUGGGGAGGAAGCUCCGGCUAACCACGUGCCAGCAGCCGCGGUAAUACGUAGGGAGCGAGCGUUGUCCGGAAUUACUGGGUGUAAAGGGAGCGUAGGCGGGGAUGCAAGUUGGGUGUCAAAACUACCGGCUCAACUGGUAGUCGCACUCAAAACUGCAGCUCUUGAGUGAAGUAGAGGCAGGCGGAAUUCCUGGUGUAGCGGUGAAAUGCGUAGAUAUUAGGAGGAACACCAGUGGCGAAGGCAGCCUGCUGGGCUUUUACUGACGCUGAGGCUCGAAAGUGUGGGGAGCAAACAGGAUUAGAUACCCGUGUAGUC